rnacentral:tRNA from 1 species
GUGGGUAUAGCUCAGUGGUAGAGCACAUGCUUGGUGGGCAAGGUCCUGGCUUCAAUCCCCAGUACCUCUG